rnacentral:sRNA from 1 species
GCUUAGCCCUGAUUGAAAUGGCAUCCUUUUUAUGCUGAACUGGUUUUAAUAUCUGUUACAAAUAAUAAAUUACUUUUAAAUUUAGUAAGAUGCUGAAAUAUAUUUAGCAUAAAAAGAUACAAUGAAAAGCAGGAAAUAGC